GAUCAUGGCUCAGAACGAACGCUGGCGGCAUGGAUUAGGCAUGCAAGUCGAACGGGAGCAGCAAUGCUCCAGUGGCGCAAGGGUGAGGGACACGUGAACAACCUGCCUUCGAGUUGGGGAUAGCUUCUGGAAACGGGAGAUAAUACCGAAUAACAUCACCGGAUCGCAUGAUCUGGUGAUCAAAGCAGCAAUGCGCUUGAAGAGGGGUUCGCGUCCCAUUAGCUAGUUGGUGAGGUAACGGCCCACCAAGGCGAUGAUGGGUAGCUGGUCUGAGAGGACGAUCAGCCACAUUGGGACUGAGAUACUGCCCAGACUCCUACGGGAGGCUGCAGUCGAGAAUUUUGGGCAAUGGACGAAAGUCUGACCCAGCAAUGCCGCGUGCGGGAUGAAGGUCUUCGGAUUGUAAACCGCUGUCAAGAGGGACGAAACAUGACGGUACCUCUGGAGGAAGCCACGGCUAACUACGUGCCAGCCGCCGC
rnacentral:rRNA from 1 species